rnacentral:rRNA from 1 species
UGCAACCUACCUUUUAUUGGGGGAUAGCCCGAAGAAAUUCGGAUUAAUACCGCAUGACACUAUUUGAGGGCAUCUGAGGAUAGUGAAAGCUGAGGCGAUAAAAGAUGGGCAUGCGUGUCAUUAGCUAGUUGGUUGAGGUAACGGCUCACCAAGGCGACGAUGACUAGGGGUUCUGAGAGGAUGAUCC